rnacentral:rRNA from 1 species
AUUGAACGCUGGCGGCAUGCUUUACACAUGCAAGUCGAACGGUAACAGGCCGCAAGGUGCUGACGAGUGGCGAACGGGUGCGUAAUGCAUCGGAACGUGCCCAGUCGUGGGGGGUAACUACUCGAAAGAGUAGCUAAUACCUCAUACGAUCUAUGGAUUAAAGCGGGGGACCGUAAGGCCUCGCGCGAUUGGAGCGGCCGAUGUCAGAUUAGGUAGUUGGUGGGGUAAAGGCUCACCAAGCCAACGAUGUGUAGCUGGUCUGAGAGGACGACCAGCCACACUGGGACUGAGACACGGCCCAGACUCCUACGGGAGGCAGCAGUGGGGAAUUUUGGACAAUGGGCGCAAGCCUGAUCCAGCAAUGCCACGUGAAGGAAGAAGGCCUUCGGGUUGUAAACUGCUUUUGUACGGAACGAAACGGCUCUGGUUAAUACCCGGGGCUAAUGACGGUACCGUAAGAAUAAGCACCGGCUAACUACGUG